UUACUUUAAACCAAGAUGAAUAUCAGUUGCUCAAACAAUUUUUGCAAAGGGACAAUGUGGCUCACUGCUCACCUUUGGAUGUGACUGGAGGGGUGACACCUCAGGCUAAUUUGAUUGCUGCUAAAUUUGUUCCUAAUCUUCAACUUGAAUGGUCAGGAUUGUGGGAGGAUGAUUGGUUUGGCUAGCUUGUAGAAAGGCUUAUAUCAUCUUGUAAAACUUAGAUUCUCUUGUUUUAGUGAGAUAUGGCAUGUUAGGGCUAAUGCUUGUAAUUCUAGUAGCAUUUGGCAUGCCAGAUUAGGACAUUUUUUCUAUGGAAAGUUGAAAUUGUUGCCUUUGUCAAAUGUAGAUUUGAGAAUAAAUAAAGAUGGUGUUUGUAAUA